UACGGAGGGUGCAAACGUUGCUCGGAAUCAUUGGGCGUAAAGCGCACGUAGGCGGCUUCUUAAGUCGGGUGUGAAAGCCCUCGGCUUAACCGAGGAAGUGCAUUCGAAACUGAGGGGCUUGAAUACUGGAGAGGAUGGCGGAAUUCCCGGUGUAGAGGUGAAAUUCGUAGAUAUCGGGAGGAACACCAGCGGCGAAGGCGGCCAUCUGGACAGAUAUUGACGCUGAGGUGCGAAAGCGUGGGGAGCAAACAGGAUUAGAAACCCCAGUAGUCC
rnacentral:rRNA from 1 species